rnacentral:ncRNA from 1 species
GACCGUACCCACAUCCGCAGCAGGUCUCCAAGGUGAACAGCCUCUAGUCGAUGGACCAAUGUAGGUAAGGGAAGUCGGCAAAACGGAUCCGUAACCUUGGGAUAAGGAUUGGCUCUGAGGACUGAGCCGGUCGGGCUGGGGACCUGAAGCAGGAACGGCACUGCACCGGGACUGGGCGGGGCUCGCCGUUCACGCGGCGCGGCCAAGCCCGGACCAGCGUCGGGACCUUCCUGUGGAAAGCCUCAGCUGCGCGGCGUCUGAGGGCUUCGUGCCCAAAGUGCUAUGCUUCGGCCGGCAAAAAACAGUCAACUCAGAACUGGCACGGACCGGGGGAAUCCGACUGUCUAAUUAAAACAAAGCAUUGCGAUGGCCGCUGGUCGGUGUUGACGCAAUGUGAUUUCUGCCCAGUGCUCUGAAUGUCAACGUGAAGAGAUUCAUCAAAGCGCGGGUAAACGGCGGGAGUAACUAUGACUCUCUUGUCAUAGUCGUUAAGUACUCCGUGCCCGAGUUCUGGACCACGUGCGGGGGACCCGUAAAGCGGCUCCUCUGGUGUCCAGCGUCACGCUCUCGUAUAGGGGCGUGUGGGCAAAGGAGAGCGCUGACGUUCUGUGCGACAUGGGACUCGGCCGCCAGGACAUUAAGCUCAUUACGAUCAAGUGCCUGCAGGGGGGGGUGUCGUGUUUCUGGCGCCAUCAACGUAUGACCUCCGUGGUUUCACGGGCGAUGACGCGGUGUGAUGAUUGAUCACCCCACGCUGUACUCUCCUCACCCCAUCUGGGUGGGUGUUAUUUAGGUCCCUCUGCCUGCCUGCUAACAGAGGACAAUAAUCUAUGCCACUGACGGUGCCUGCUGGGUCCUUUAUUCCCAUGUGGGUUUCCGUCGCUGUGGUGUACAA